GGAAGUUGGACCCCACACUAGCAACUCCAGAACCGAAUAGACAGGUCUUCCAGAGCCAAUUUACCCUUAUCAUGAACGAGUCUCAGUUCUAUCACCCUUAAGAGCAUUGGCAUCAGUUUAUUCAAAUUACUUUUUAUCUUUAUAUUUGAUCAACUUCUUCAAUAAAAGCCCUACGUCGGAUUGGUUAAAGCCUUUUCAUAUCAAUUUUAAGCUACAAUAUUUUCAUCUAUUUUUUCAUCUUUGAAAAGUCCUGUAGCACGUUCAAAGACAUUGUUUAUUAUUUCGGCUUCUCUCUCCCGCGGUUCUCUUCCUUCCUCUUUCCUCCCGCGUAUCAUAUCUCUUCUUCUUCCAUUGUCUUUUUUCUUCUCUCUUUUCUUCUUCCCUCUCCCGUGUCUCUCCCUUCUUUCUCCCUUCUAUUUUUUUUUUCCUGUUCUUCUUCCCUCUUUCUCUCACGCAGCUCCUCUUUCAUUUUUCACUUCCUUCUCUCAAGCACGGCACCGCCACGGCUUCACUCCAACGCCGAUCGCCCAACAACACGGUAAUCACCAUAGACGUAUUGGGACCAUCUUUCAUAUUGUUCCAAUCUAAGAGUUGUCCUGAAGGCCUCUUUCUCCAAGAAGCUAGGCCUCUUUGAUAGGUAUGUUAUUUUGUAUUAAACUUUGGACAACACUUUAUGUACUGAGCUGUUAUUGGAGUUAUGAGUCUAGUCCUGAUUUUGUACAUGAAUAUUUGAAUCAAGGAUGGACACCACAUUUGAUGAAGAUCCCUUUUUUACCACUCUGUUGCAAAGUGGUGAACAAGGAAUCUCUAGUACCCUGAUGACUAGCAGCCAUGAUAAUGUUGGACUCCAAGCAACACAAUUGGCAGGUGAAAAAAGGCCACCUAGUAAGAAAACACAACGAGGUGUGUCUUUCACCGUAGAGGAGGACAAUCUCCUCGUGUCAGCUUGGCUCAAUAUUAGUGUGGAUGCUAUCCGGGGGACAGAUCAAAAAUAUUCACAAAUGUGGGAGAGAAUUAGUAAUUAUUACAAUGAGUAUAAAAAGCCUAGCAUGGCAAAUCGUUCUGGAGGGUCAUUGACCAAUCGAUGGUCGGUGAUCCAAAAAUGCACAAAUAAGUUUUGUGCUGCUGUGGCCCAAGUAGAAUCAUUGCAUCCAAGUGGUGCAACAGAGUAGGACAAGAUUGAAAGAGCUAAAAUCUUGUAUAGAGAGACUGAGAAGGCCACAUACAACAUGGAACAUUGUUGGUGUCUAUUAAGACACCAACCAAAAUGGCAUCAACAUGUUUCCAUAUUGUCAAUGAGGAGGAAACCACAUGGGAAACGUGCUGCCAUUGCGGACUCGACUCCACUAGGAGACGACACUUUAGAUGACAACAUAGAGGUCAUUUCUGAGAGACCUCCAAGCAAGAAGGUUGCGAAAGAAAGUGAGAGAAAGAGGAAGGCUGGAGAAGCUUGUGAUGCUGAAUUUGCUGAGGCCUUAAAUGGCAUGAGAAAUGACAGAGCCAUAUACAUUUCUGAGAGAAGACAAGAGAUUAGCAAGAGUAAUUCUGUGGCAAUGGCUUUACUAGUGGAGAAAAAUAGGAAGAAUGAUAUGUUAAAAAGGAAGAUCGAUAUGAAGUUAAUGAAAUUAGAUCUUGCUGGGAUGAAUAGAAUGUAGCAAGAGUACUUCUUGAAUAUUCAAAAAGAGAUCUUCGAGGAAUCACAGAAGCGAUUUUCAUCUACAUCUCCACCUCCAUCUCCAUCUUUUGAUUUUGAAGAUGUGUAGCCAUCUUUGUUUCAACAUGUUAUUAUCUACUUAAUAUUAUUUUGUUAAUAUAAACACAAUUGGUUUUAGUAGCUGGGCAGCCACAUGUAACACCACAUGUGGCUGGGCAGCAACUAUUGCUAACUAUUUUGUGGCUUUUUGUUGGACUGUUAUGUAGGGCUGUUGGACAGACUUUAUGUUAGAGAUACUUGUAUUUUGUAGGGCUGUUGAGCUGUAAUUAUGCAUGUAGAUGCACACAAGUGUUGUUGGAGUUAGAAUAUUGUCAAAAAUCUGAUGUUGCCGAUGCACACAAGUUGGGUUGUUAUUUUGGACAGUAUUAAGUUGUCACAUAUAAAUGUUGGGUUGUUAUUUUAUUAUAUGCUGGUGGGGGGUUAUUUUCUCAUUUUAUUUUAUUAUAUUUUGAGUUUAUUAUAUUAUAGAAA